rnacentral:rRNA from 1 species
AGUAACGCGUGGGUAACCUGCCUCAUACAGGGGGAUAACAGUUAGAAAUGACUGCUAAUACCGCAUAAGCGCACAGUGCUGCAUGGCACAGUGUGAAAAACUCCGGUGGUAUGAGAUGGACCCGCGUCUGAUUAGCUAGUUGGUGGGGUAACGGCCUACCAAGGCGACGAUCAGUAGCCGGCCUGAGAGGGUGGACGGCCACAUUGGGACUGAGACACGGCCCAA